rnacentral:rRNA from 1 species
GGCCAGACUCCUACGGGAGGCAGCAGUGGGGGAUAUUGCACAAUGGGGGAAACCCUGAUGCAGCGACGCCGCGUGAGUGAAGAAGUAUUUCGGUAUGUAAAGCUCUAUCAGCAGGGAAGAAGAUGACAGUACCUGAGUAAGAAGCCCCGGCUAACUACGUGCCAGCAGCCGCGGUAAUACGUAGGGGGCAAGCGUUAUCCGGAUUUACUGGGUGUAAAGGGAGCGUAGAUGGUUAUGUAAGUCUGGAGUGAAAGCCCGGGGCCCAACCCCGGGACUGCUUUGGAAACUGUGUAACUAGAGUACAGGAGGGGCAGGCGGAAUUCCUGGUGUAGCGGUGAAAUGCGUAGAUAUCUGGAGGAACAUCAGUGGCGAAGGCGACUAUCUGGCACAUAACUGACGCUGAGGAGCGAAAGCGUGGGUAGCAAACAGGAUUAGAUACCCUAGUAUU